GGCCAGUCGUCAGUCAGUUGGCCAACAAACUGGUAGCGUCUGGUGUGGCGAGCCAACAAAAGGCUGGCAGAGCGGCCAACACCGGACCCGGCCCGAAACUGAAUCCGGGUCCGGGUCUGGGUCCGUGUCCGUGUCCGGGUUGGUUUCGCAGCAUCUACGGCAUCACGGCUGCCAAUUGAGCGGAGUUUGGGUCUCAAUUUGACGCGUAGCCAGCCAAGAAGAGUGGCCGGCCAACAACAAAAACAGGUGACGCAGGAUGUGGCCAACUGAGUAGGGAGAUGGCGGAAGAGCAGGAGGCGCAGGAGGAGGAGGAGGAGGAGGAGGAGGAGGAAACGCAGCACACUUUUUUGGCCACGGUCCGCGUUUGAUUAGCCAACUCAAACAUCAGGGCCAAGAUCAGGGCAAUUGACAGCUCUGCUCCCUCAGUUUCUGCUUCCGCUUGGCACACAGUCACAGAGACACACAUUGCCUUAUGGCCACUGGACGAUGGACCACAGUGGAGCCUGGGCAGUACGCAACACCUGACGCUGCCCGCCAGGAUACUCCCGUUCGUCUCGAUCAUACAGCAAAUAAGAAACAUUAAAUAAACAAUCAAAGAAACGGAGUAUUGCUCCGCAACUGCCAACAACAUUCAACGACAACCAGUUGCUCUGUGGUGCUAGAAAGUGAGUGUAAACAGUGUGUGCCUUUGUGAACUGAACUGACCAACGUGCCAAGAACGAAGGGACGAGGAGGUGGGCACUCUGGCUCGGACCCAAGCGAUUUGGCAGGAGCUGAUUGUUUCAUCUGGCCAGGCUUAAUGAAAUAACUCGUCCUGGCCGCGGCUCCAUGUCAAACGCAGCAGGGCAAUCGCCAGCGAAGCCCCAAAGGAUAAGCAUCGUCCAGAACAUCGGAAUCUCCAGCGAAGGAUGCACCAAAAACAUUAUCCACAGGACUAAGAUGCCAAAGGAAACUUUCAAGAUCCGUUUCCAAAACAAAACAUAAAAUAUAUUCAAUAAAAAUGAAGUGGAAAUGAAAUGAUACAUAAUAAAUACCCUAAUACAUAACAGAAACAAAAGCAAGUCACUAAACUUGACUGCAAAUAUAAUACGAUGACACUUAAUAGAAACAUUGUAAUAAAAUUGAAAAGAAGUAGACAAGAAUAACCACUCAUAAAACUAAAAUACCCAGCCUAUAACUAUUUUUCAAAUAGUUGGCAUAGUGCUUACUAUGAACCAUAAUCGCAUAUGAUAUAACCAAUAUUGAGCACUUAAUAUAGCCCAAUAUUAUAUAGACCCAAAUAUGAAAUAGUCACAAACAAUAGUGCAAUACAAUACGUUUAUAAAACAACGUCAAAAGUUUUAUAACGAAAAUAUAUUUCUUUAUAAUGAGCACUUUCGAACAACUACAUUUAAUAUAAAAUAGCGCGGGAAGUCUUCGGCGUGGUGAAAGUAUAAGGUGUAAGCACAGCUGAGAAGAAAGGAAUUUACAAAAUCGAAGGAAGAAGUGAAAGAAGGAGUGAAAAAACAUCUAAGCGCGGAAAAGUGCUACAAAAUGAAGCUGACAUCCUAAAGGAAACCUUGUUGGCCAAUUGGGGAGGAGGCCCAGAAGGUCGGGCCGAUUUUCCGCUGCAACCGACGAAGGUCUGACCAACCAAUCGCAACGCACAGCGGCGACGAAGCCCGGCCGAAUGGGAGCAUCUCGGGCAAACGGAGGGACAGUCAGCCGCCCUGCAAUGCAUUUCUUUUGGCAACGAGUCAAGCGGCCUUUCACACACACACACACACACAUUAGGAUUCCAUAAGGAUACUCUGCCUCGCUCACAUGCGCAUCGAGUGGUAUACGUAAUAUAUCAAGUAUACGCCUGUUGGCCGGGCAGAAAGUCUGUGAGUGUGUGCGAAUGGCCAAACAGAGUGUUGCCAACUGCAUUGCCGGGCUGCCAACGACUCAACCCCCGACCCGAGGACACCACCCUCCUCCCGGCCAGGAGGCCAACGACGAGUCCUUUUUGGAGGCAGCGCAUUGGCUGCAGGACGACCGGCGACAGGACGACCAAUCACCAAUCAAAUCGCGGCUUGUGCGCACUAUCACGGCCGUACGAAGGGCCAAAGGCACGGCAUCCAGGACCUCAGCCGGAGACCCCAAGCCGAUUGUCAAUCUCUUAGACAUAUUAUUAUGCCAACGUCUCCUAUAUUAUAGUUCUCUAGUCGUAAGUCACAUGCCCAAGCCAUCGCCCCAGAACAUCGGGGACAUGAAACAUUAGUUUUAUUGAUAGAGUUCUUAGUUUCGAGCAGAAGCUAUACGAUGAUGAUUUCAAGAAUGAGAAAACGGAAUAAAAACUGUAAAGCUUCAGAGCGGAAC
rnacentral:lncRNA from 1 species